GAGAAGGUAUUUAGUGAGUCUUUUAUUGCUUUAACAAUGACUUUUCGCAAAAAAAGUUUAAGGAUAUUAGAUUCGUCACUCUCCGACUUACCUAAGUCUUUAAAUACAGACCCCAGAUUACAAAAAGGUAAGUUGUUAUCACUAAAUUACUAUUUUUUUUUUCAGUCAGUCGUGAAAAAAUAAAUGCAAUAUUUACUGCUUUUCUAAAUGUUAAUAAAAAUAUCUUUAAUAAUAAUUAUUUUAUUUAAACUCUGCUUCCGUUGUAACGAAACUUUCUAUUGCAGGUGAAGAUAAAGAAACCCUACCACAUCACGAACUUAGCGAUAUAUGCGGCCAAGAUGCAGCCAUCAAAUCGGCUAGUGUUGCAGAAGAAAAGCACUCUAAACAAAGUUCUGUGGUAAGUGCCAACCUUUGUUUAAGUGACAGCGAUGACUCAAUAAAGGAUAAAGAUUAUCAACCAGAUUCGGACACUGAUUCAGAUGAAAGUGGAAGUAGGUUUCCUGUACCUUUAUCGGCAUUUCCAGAAGGUGUGCCAAGUACAUCUAAUGCUAUACCAGACUCUUUAACUACUACAGUAGGAGAUACUAGAAAUCCCAAUCGUCUAGUGACCAAAAGAAAAGUCGUCAAUAAAACAAAAA
rnacentral:lncRNA from 1 species